UGAAACAGAGAAAAAGAUAGACUGCCAUGUUAAUGAGCAUGAGAUUGCCCAGUAUCACUCUGACAGAAGAGUAUGGUGUUUCCUUGAUAUGGUAUCUGGUCAGCAAUGUCAUUGGGACCAAAUGAAAGUUACUGCAGAUACCACACAGAAGCAAUUACUGUUACUGGAAUACCAGUAAUGUUUAUUAAAUUCAGUUGUAAAGUAGUUCUGGGCAUUGCAGCUGGCGAGCAAUGUCAUUGGGCACCAAAAGAAGUUCAGUUAUGAUGGAUUUCUGGCCUUCAGUCCAUGGGAAAAUUCACACCAGAUUGCAUCAAGACUGUUAUAUUCCAUGGAUAUCUUGGAAGAUUGAUAGUAUUCCUGAAGGAAAACAAUCCAUAUAGUAUUUCACGUGUGUAUCAAACUGCCAUUUGUUGUGGCACAUAAAUGUUUGCAAUUUGAUUGUAAUUUUCGAACAUUUUCUCAACAAUCCAAGAAUUUCUUGUAAUGAGAAGUAGACAUUGUUGCUUGGGUAAAGGAAAUACAAAUCACGGUCAAUAUAACUACCUUAUUAACUUUCCACAGAGAAAUAUUUUUCACUACUGCUACUUAAAAAUUCAAAUGUGUGACAAAGUUUGCUUACAGAACUUGGCAUAAAGAUCUCCCUUAUUUGUAUUUUUUAGGUAGCUCUUAUUGUUUGAUCCUUCAAAUGGAAUGCUAUGACCUCCAUGUGAUCUAUUCCUUAGUAGUUAAUUAUCCAUUAAGGCACAAAUAUAUGAACAUUACAAUGAGAGGGGUCUUUAUGCCAGGCCCUGUAAAAGUAAUGGCAUCUUACUUAAUAUUAUUGUUGGGAAUUUGAUGGCACAGCUGUGGGGAGACCACAAAUUUCAGGGUUUGCUAACUGCAAAUCUGGCACACAGUUGCUGAGUGAUUCAAGUACUUUUCAUAAUGUUUCACUGUUGAUACAGUUGUAUGUGAGAUGAUAAACCUGCUUGAACACCACCUUCACUUCAAAUUGCUGCAAAGAAAUGGUUAAGGUAUCAGUGUGAUGCUCUAUAUGUGUUUCCUCAACUGUGUCCUCAUUGCUACUGUCUUCAUGUGAAAUUACUGCAGACACACUUCUGAAACCAAACCUGUACAUCUUGUGAAGACAGAUUAAUGGGCUAUUCCUGCAGCUUUCUGGUAUUUUAUCAAAACCCCACUCUGGAUAGAAAAUAAUGAUUGCACAGAAAUGCUUGCAUGGGUAUUUAUAUAUCUCAAAAUCUUCACAUGCGCAGUUUGGUAGAGCAAAGCUUACAACAUAAUUAGUCUUUGAACAUUGUACUCUCCAUAUAAAACAUUGUCCAACUUCACAUUCACUAAUCUUGCAGUUAAUUCAACUUUCCCUGGUGCGUAUCACUGCAUGACAUGUUUCACAAACUUGCUUUUAAAAAAAAAAAAAAAUGAAAAAACAGUGGAACAUGUCUGUUAUGAUUUGAUGGCAGAAUUCUGCAGACAGUACUUUCUAAUUAGGCUUGGAAGAAAUUGAUUUCUUAUAUCCCUAGUAGCCCCAUUGAAGGUCCCAUCUGUGUUCGAUUUUAGGAAAAAAAAUGUUUACAAUCUUGUUCAUGGCGUCAACUCCACUUGUAAUGUCAAUGGUAUCAAAAUUGCCCUUGUCCUCAUAAGCUUCCACUCACUUUUCAUGUAUCAAUAGCCACUGCUGUUAAACGUACAGUGAUGCAUAUUCGUUUCUCUGAGAAGCCUCACUAUCUCUUCUGUAUGAUCUGUAAAUUCUCUGUUGGUGAUUCUGAAAUUUCUUGCCACAUGCCCAGAAAUCUCUUCAUGUCAUUUGGUAUUUAUUCAGCCAUCUUCCUCAAACCUGUUUGACUGAAAAGGCACAAGUAAACUUUUGUCUGAGGAUAUGCUUGAUCAGUUGCGUUUGUCUCAGACUAUAAGAAAUCAGUAACCCAGUAGGUGGGAUUCCAAUCCUUGAAAAUGGCUAGUGCUUCAUGAAUGGAUCUCGCAUUUUCAACUUGAAUGAAAAAGAAAACCAAAUAACCCACAUUACUCUUUACAGCUAUAAAAAAAUAAAGGCAUAUCAUGUGUUGUUGUUUUGUAUGUUGCAUAUAACAACUAUCCCUGUACUUCUUCAAAAGAUCUCUUUGCUAACAGCUCUGAUAGAAAAAAGUGAUGGUUUCACUCCUCCAUUGGCACCCAU